GUUUAUUCAUUUGCAAAGAAUAGAUAGAUAGAUAAAUCUUUAUUGUCAUUGUCACAAGAACAACGAAAUUUAAAAAGUGCCGU